UACAGAGGGUGCGAGCGUUGUUCGGAAUUACUGGGCGUAAAGCGCGCGCAGGCGGCUUUUUAAGUCCGUUGGUGAAAUGCCGGGGCUCAACCCCGUGCCCGCCAGGGAUACUGGAGAGCUGGAGACGAGUAGAGGCAAGCGGAAUUCCGGGUGUAGCGGUGGAAUGCGUAGAGAUCCGGAAGAACACCGGAGGCGAAGGCGGCUUGCUGGGCUCGGUCUGACGCUGAGGCGCGAAAGCGUGGGGAGCGAACAGG
rnacentral:rRNA from 1 species